rnacentral:rRNA from 1 species
CCACACUGGGACUGAGACCACGGUCCAGACUCCUACGGGAGGCAGCAGUAGGGAAUCUUCCGCAAUGGACGAAAGUCUGACGGAGCAACGCCGCGUGAGUGAUGAAGGUUUUCGGAUCGUAAAGCUCUGUUGUUAGGGAAGAACAAGUGCGAGAGUAACUGCUCGCACCUUGACGGUACCUAACCAGAAAGCCACGGCUAACUACGUGCCAGCAGCCGCGGUAAUACGUAGGUGGCAAGCGUUGUCCGGAAUUAUUGGGCGUAAAGGGCUCGCAGGCGGUUUCUUAAGUCUGAUGUGAAAGCCCCCGGCUCAACCGGGGAGGGUCAUUGGAAACUGGGAAACUUGAGUGCAGAAGAGGAGAGUGGAAUUCCACGUGUAGCGGUGAAAUGCGUAGAGAUGUGGAGGAACACCAGUGGCGAAGGCGACUCUCUGGUCUGUAACUGACGCUGAGGAGCGAAAGCGUGGGGAGCGAACAGGAUUAGAUACCCUGGUAGUCCACGCCGUAAACGAUGAGUGCUAAGUGUUAGGGGGUUUCCGCCCCUUAGUGCUGCAGCUAACGCAUUAAGCACUCCGCCUGGGGAGUACGGUCGCAAGACUGAAACUCAAAGGAAUUGACGGGGGCCCGCACAAGCGGUGGAGCAUGUGGUUUAAUUCGAAGCAACGCGAAGAACCUUACCAGGUCUUGACAUCCUCUGACACCCUAGAGAUAGGGCUUUCCCUUCGGGGACAGAGUGACAGGUGGUGCAUGGGUUGUCGUCAGCUCGUGUCGUGAGAUGUUGGGGUUAAGUCCCGCAACGAGCGCAACCCUUGAUCUUAGUUGCCAGCAUUCAGUUGG